UACGAAGGGGGCUAGCGUUGCUCGGAAUCACUGGGCGUAAAGGGUGCGUAGGCGGGUCUUUAAGUCGGGGGUGAAAUCCUGGAGCUCAACUCCAGAACUGCCUUCGAUACUGGAGGACUUGAGUCCGGGAGAGGUGAGUGGAACUGCGAGUGUAGAGGUGAAAUUCGUAGAUAUUCGCAAGAACACCAGUGGCGAAGGCGGCUCACUGGCCCGGUACUGACGCUGAGGUGCGAAAGCGUGGGGAGCAAACAGG
rnacentral:rRNA from 1 species